rnacentral:rRNA from 1 species
UACGUAGGGGGCGAGCGUUGUCCGGAAUCAUUGGGCGUAAAGAGCGUGUAGGCGGACUUAAAGGUCUGGUGUGAAAGCCCGGGGCUCAACCCCGGAGGGUCACUGGAAACCAUAAGUCUUGAAUCUGGAAGAGGAGAGUGGAAUUCCUGGUGUAGCGGUGGAAUGCGCAGAUAUCAGGAGGAACACCAAUGGCGAAGGCAGCUCUCUGGUACAUGAUUGACGCUGAGACGCGAAAGCGUGGGGAGCGAACAGG